rnacentral:rRNA from 1 species
UUAAGUGAAGAGUUUGAUUCUGGCUCAGAACAAACGCUGGCGGCGUGCUUAAUACAUGCAAGUCGAACGGGGAACGGCCUUCGGGCCUUGUACUAGUGGCGCACGGGUGAGUAACACGUGGAUAAUCUGCCCUUCAGUGGGGAAUAACUCUCCGAAAGGAGAGCUAAUACCGCAUAAGACCACAGAUACUUCGGUAUCAGAGGUUAAAGGAGAAAUUCGCUGAAGGAUGAGUCCGCGCAAGAUUAGCUUGUUGGUAAGGUAACGGCUUACCAAGGCGACGAUCUUUNNNNNNNNNNNNNNNNCCACACUGGAACUGAGACACGGUCCAGACUCCUACGGGAGGCAGCAGUAGGGAAUAUUGCGCAAUGGGGGAAACCCUGACGCAGCAACGCCGCGUGAGUGACGAAGGCCUUCGGGUCGUAAAGCUCUGUUAUAUGGGAAGAACACAAUGACGGUACCAUAUUAGAAAGGACCGGCCAACUUCGUGCCAGCAGCCGCGGUAAGACGAGGGGUCCUAGCGUUGUUCGGAAUCAUUGGGCGUAAAGCGCAUGUAGGUGGCUUUGUAAGUCGGAAGUGAAAGCCCGGGGCUCAACCCCGGAAGUGCUUUCGAUACUGCAAAACUUGAGUACGGGAGAGGGCAGUGGAAUUCCUGGUGUAGUGGUGAAAUACGUAGAUAUCAGGAGGAACAUCGGUGGCGAAGGCGGCUGCCUGGCCCAGUACUGACACUCAGAUGCGAAAGCGUGGGGAUCAAACAGGAUUAGAUACCCUGGUAGUCCACGCUGUAAACGAUGGAUACUUGGUGUUGGAGGUAUUGACCCCUUCAGUGCCGAAGCUAACGCGUUAAGUAUCCCGCCUGGGAAGUACGGUCGCAAGAUUAAAACUCAAAGAAAUUGACGGGGGCCCGCACAAGCGGUGGAGCAUGUGGUUUAAUUCGAUGCAACGCGAAAAACCUUACCUGGGUUUGAACUGUUGGCGAAUGAAGUGGAGACAUUUCAGUCCUUCGGGACGCCUUCAGAGGUGCUGCAUGGCUGUCGUCAGCUCGUGUCGUGAGAUGUUGGGUUAAGUCCCGCAACGAGCGCAACCCCUGCCUUUAGUUGCCAGCAUUAAGUUGGGCACUCUAAAGGGACUGCCGACGUUAAGUCGGAGGAAGGUGGGGAUGACGUCAAGUCCUCAUGGCCUUUAUGCCCAGGGCCACACACGUGCUACAAUGGCCGAUACAAAGGGUUGCCAAGCCGCAAGGUGGAGCUAAUCCCAAAAAAUCGGUCUAAGUUCGGAUUGGAGUCUGCAACUCGACUCCAUGAAGCUGGAAUCGCUAGUAAUCGCGGAUCAGCAUGCCGCGGUGAAUACGUUCUCGGGCCUUGUACACACCGCCCGUCACACCAUGAGAGCUGGUCAUACCAGAAGUCGCUGUGCUAACCGCAAGGAGGUAGGCGCCCAAGGUAUGGUCGGUGAUUGGGGUGAAGUCGUAACAAGGUAGCCGUAGGGGAACCUGCGGCUGGAUCACCUCCUUUCUAAGG